rnacentral:rRNA from 1 species
AGCGAACGCUGGCGGCAGGCUUAACACAUGCAAGUCGAGCGGGCAUAGCAAUAUGUCAGCGGCAGAGGGGUGAGUAACGCGUGGGAACGUACCUUUUGGUUCGGAACAACACAGGGAAACUUGUGCUAAUACCGGAUAAGCCCUUACGGGGAAAGAUUUAUCGCCGAAAGAUCGGCCCGCGUCUGAUUAGCUAGUUGGUGAGGUAAUGGCUCACCAAGGCGACGAUCAGUAGCUGGUCUGAGAGGAUGAUCAGCCACAUUGGGACUGAGACACGGCCCAAACUCCUACGGGAGGCAGCAGUGGGGAAUAUUGGACAAUGGGCGCAAGCCUGAUCCAGCCAUGCCGCGUGAGUGAUGAAGGCCCUAGGGUUGUAAAGCUCUUUUGUGCGGGAAGAUAAUGACGGUACCGCAAGAAUAAGCCCCGGCUAACUUCGUG